rnacentral:lncRNA from 1 species
GUGGGUGGAGAAGGAGUGGGCUUCUCUCAUCUUGUCACCUCUCGCUUGCCAGAUGCCGGUGACAAAACGGCCUCGGAAAUCCUCCAGCGACCUGGAUCAGGGCAGCCCCUCUGUGACAGAAGAGGAGAACUCAGAAACGUCUUCCGAGUCAGAAAAAAACAGCGACCAGGAUUUCACUCCUGAAAAGAAGCCGGUGGCCCGGGCUCCUCGGAGGAUGCCGGCAGCGGGGAGGAAGAAGAAGAAAAUGGAGUCUGGCUCUGACUCUGACUCUAAAGUGGACUCAGACCUGGAGAUGGGAAACGCCACCGUGGA